AGCUAAUACCGCAUAACCUCGCAAGAGCAAAGUGGGGGACCUUCGGGCCUCACGCUAUCGGAUGUGCCCAGAUGGGAUUAGCUAGUAGGUGGGGUAACGGCUCACCUAGGCGACGAUCCCUAGCUGGUCUGAGAGGAUGACCAGCCACACUGGAACUGAGACACGGUCCAGACUCCUACGGGAGGCAGCAGUGGGGAAUAUUGCACAAUGGGCGCAAGCCUGAUGCAGCCAUGCCGCGUGUAUGAAGAAGGCCUUCGGGUUGUAAAGUACUUUCAGCGGGGAGGAAGGCGGUGAGGUUAAUAACCUUGCCGAUUGACGUUACCCGCAGAAGAAGCACCGGCUAACUCCGUGCCAGCAGCCGCGGUAAUACGGAGGGUGCAAGCGUUAAUCGGAAUUACUGGGCGUAAAGCGCACGCAGGCGGUCUGUCAAGUCAGAUGUGAAAUCCCCGGGCUUAACCUGGGAACUGCAUUUGAAACUGGCAGGCUAGAGUCUUGUAGAGGGGGGUAGAAUUCCAGGUGUAGCGGUGAAAUGCGUAUAGAUCUGGAGGAAUACCGGUGGCGAAAGCGGCCCCCUGGACAGAGACUGACGCUCAUGUGCGAAAGCGUGGGGAGCAACAGGGAUUAGAUACCCUGGUAGUCCACGCCGUAACGAUGUCGACUUGUAGGGU
rnacentral:rRNA from 1 species